AACGAACGCUGGCGGCAUGCCUAACACAUGCAAGUCGAACGAGACCUUCGGGUCUAGUGGCGCACGGGUGCGUAACGCGUGGGAACCUGCCCUUAGGUUCGGAAUAACUCCCCGAAAGGGGUGCUAAUACCGGGUAAUGUCUUCGGACCAAAGAUUUAUCGCCUUUGGAUGGGCCCGCGUUGGAUUAGCUAGUUGGUAGGGUAAAAGCCUACCAAGGCGACGAUCCAUAGCUGGUCUGAGAGGAUGAUCAGCCACACUGGGACUGAGACACGGCCCAGACUCCUACGGGAGGCAGCAGUGGGGAAUAUUGGACAAUGGGCGAAAGCCUGAUCCAGCAAUGCCGCGUGAGUGAUGAAGGCCUUAGGGUUGUAAAGCUCUUUUACCCGGGAUGGUAAUGACAGUACCGGGAGAAUAAGCUCCGGCUAACUCCGUG
rnacentral:rRNA from 1 species